CAAUUUUGGCCUUCAGGAAACAGAAAAACUUUACUGGCCUCUGCAUUAGAUGAUUCUAGCUCCCAUUCUUCAAGCCACCUCAGAAAAGGAAACUGAGGCC